rnacentral:rRNA from 1 species
UACGGAGGGAGCUAGCGUUGUUCGGAAUUACUGGGCGUAAAGGGCGCGUAGGCGGCGCUGCUAGUCAGGCGUGAAAUUCCUGGGCUUAACCUGGGGACUGCGCUUGAUACGGCAGUGCUAGAGGACGGAAGAGGGUCGUGGAAUUCCCAGUGUAGAGGUGAAAUUCGUAGAUAUUGGGAAGAACACCGGUGGCGAAGGCGGCGACCUGGUCCGUUACUGACGCUGAGGCGCGACAGCGUGGGGAGCGAACAGG